GGUUGCGAUCAUACCAGCACUAAUGCACCGGAUCCCAUCAGAACUCCGCAGUUAAGCAUGCUUGGGCGAGAGUAGUACUAGGAUGGGUGACCCCAUGGGAAGUCCUCGUGUUGCAACCCC
rnacentral:rRNA from 1 species